rnacentral:rRNA from 1 species
UUUUCCUACGGGACGCAGCAGUGGGGAAUAUUGCACAAUGGGGGGAACCCUGAUGCAGCGACGCCGCGUGAAGGAAGAAGUAUUUCGGUAUGUAAACUUCUAUCAGCAGGGAAGAAAAAGGACGGUACCUGACUAAGAAGCCCCGGCUAACUACGUGCCAGCAGCCGCGGUAAUACGUAGGGGGCAAGCGUUAUCCGGAUUUACUGGGUGUAAAGGGAGCGUAGACGGAGGAGCAAGUCUGAUGUGAAAAUCCGGGGCCCAACCCCGGAACUGCAUUGGAAACUGUUUAUCUAGAGUGUCGGAGA